UAUUGGCCUAGUGGUUAGAGCGUCCGCCUCGGAUGCGGGAGGUCGUGAGUUUAAUUCCCAGUCGCGUCAUAACAA